UGGGGAAUAUUGCGCAAUGGGCGAAAGCCUGACGCAGCGACGCCGCGUGAGGGAUGAAGGUUUUCGGAUCGUAAACCUCUGUCAGAAGGGAAGAAACCGCACUGUGCUAAUCAGCAGUGCCUUGACGGUACCUUCAAAGGAAGCACCGGCUAACUCCGUGCCAGCAGCCGCGGUAAUACGGAGGGUGCAAGCGUUAAUCGGAAUUACUGGGCGUAAAGCGCACGUAGGCUGCUUUGUAAGUCAGGGGUGAAAUCCCACGGCUCAACCGUGGAACUGCCUUUUAUACUGCUUAGCUUGAAUCCGGGAGAGGGUGGCGGAAUUCCAGGUGUAGGAGUGAAAUCCGUAGAUAUCUGGAGGAACAUCAGUGGCGAAGGCGGCCACCUGGACCGGUAUUGACGCUGAGGUGCGAAAGCGUGGGGAGCAAACAGG
rnacentral:rRNA from 1 species